AGGUUGUUUAGUUUAACUAAAAUAUAGAUUUUGUAAGUCUAGGAUGAUAAUUUAUCAUCAACCUU
rnacentral:tRNA from 1 species